AGUAACAGUUAGUAAGUUGUUUUUUUAAAAAAAAUGAAACAAAAGCUGAUGCAGCAUUCGUUUCACUUGUAUUGUUUUUCUCAUUUUUUUUUUUUUUUAACAAAAAAAAAAGAUAUAGUGUUGUUGAUGUUUCUUUUUCCUCUCGUGCAAAAAAGCACUUGCUCG
rnacentral:ribozyme from 15 species